AAGUCUUUGCAUCUCACUCAUCUCAAUAUCUGCGGUGCUGCUUGUGGCAACGUCAUUUCACUGAGUCUACUUUUUUAAAGUAGGGAUAUUAGGUAUUGAGUAGUCGCUGGUGGAUGCUGGGCCCUAAAGUCUCAUUAGCUCCCUCUUGUGGGUUGAAAAUGCGUGAAUGACAUUGCUCAUCUACCCUUUUAUAAUGGCAUUCCUCAUCUAGGGUCACGGUUACAACUUGAGACUGAAAAUAAUAAAAGAAUGGUAUGUGGUUGGAGUGUCUAACCCCGCCCCUGUCUGUCUCCUCCAAUAGAAUGCAGCGGUGGUGGUGGUGGAGGCUACAGCAGAAGCAGACCAAGCAGUUAUCUUGGAGAAUGGACAGGAAGAAGUAGAGGCUGAAUCCGUUUUAGGAACAGUUGAGGCAGCACUAUUGGAACGAGCUGAGAUCCUCACCAAUGGGAGAGGAGAGGGGGAGGGGCAAGCUGCUACCCACAAUGCAUCAGAGGAGGGCGGACUGCACAACGGCACCAACGGUCCAGUGACGGUCGUCCCUGAAGAUGGUGCCAUUACCAUGACGUUCCUGGGGUUCACGGAGACGGAGCCAGGCGAGGCUCCGGUAAUCGAAGAAGGCGGACUGAUCAUGAUGCGAGCGGAGCGAGUGAUUAUCAAUGACGAGGGAGACGAGCUGGCAAAUGAUCUUUCCUCUACGGGUCAGGAACAGGAAGUUGACUCGGCUGCGUCCAAUCAGAGGUCAGAAUCUCCUGAGGAAGGAGGAAUUGAGGAGGCGAAACCAGAGACAACUCCUGAAGAGUCCUCAGAAGUAGCAAAAGAGACUGAGACAGAGGCAGACACAGUAACUAGAGAUUUAGGAGAAGGACAGAUGGACCCCGUAACUAGAGAUUUAGGAGAAGG